AUUGAACGCUGGCGGCAUGCUUUACACAUGCAAGUCGAACGGUAACAGGCCGCAAGGUGCUGACGAGUGGCGAACGGGUGAGUAAUGCAUCGGAACGUGCCCAGUCGUGGGGGAUAACGCAGCGAAAGCUGCGCUAAUACCGCAUACGAUCUAUGGAUGAAAGCGGGGGACCGUAAGGCCUCGCGCGAUUGGAGCGGCCGAUGUCAGAUUAGGUAGUUGGUGGGGUAAAGGCUCACCAAGCCAACGAUCUGUAGCUGGUCUGAGAGGACGACCAGCCACACUGGGACUGAGACACGGCCCAGACUCCUACGGGAGGCAGCAGUGGGGAAUAUUGGACAAUGGGGGCAACCCUGAUCCAGCAAUGCCGCGUGAGUGAUGAAGGCCUUAGGGUUGUAAAGCUCUUUUGCCAGGGAAGAUGAUGACUGUACCUGGAGAAUAAGCCCCGGCUAACUUCGUGCCAGCAGCCGCGGUAAU
rnacentral:rRNA from 1 species